AGCUCGUCUGGCAAAAUGAAAACUGCUAAUUAUUCAUUUCCAUGGUUCAACUCCAUGGCCCGCUC
rnacentral:tRNA from 1 species